UCUUCCCUCUUCCCUCCUGCUUAACACAUGCAAGUCAACUUGAACUUCGGUUUGGGUGGCGGACGGGUGAGUAACGCGUAAAGAACUUGCCUCACAGUUAGGGACAACAUUUGGAAACGAAUGCUAAUACCUGAUAUUAUGAUUUUAGGGCAUCCUAGAAUUAUGAAAGCUAUAUGCGCUGUGAGAGAGCUUUGCGUCCCAUUAGCUAGUUGGAGAGGUAACGGCUCACCAAGGCGAUGAUGGGUAGCCGGCCUGAGAGGGUGAACGGCCACAAGGGGACUGAGACACGGCCCUUACGCCUACGGGAGGCAGCAGUGGGGAAUAUUGGUCAAUGGACCAAGAGUCUGAUCCAGCAAUUCUGUGUGCACGAUGAAGUUUUUCGGGAUGUAAAGUGCUUUCAGUUGGGAAGAAAAAAAUGACGAUACCAACAGAAGAAGGGACGGCUAAAUACGUG
rnacentral:rRNA from 1 species